rnacentral:rRNA from 1 species
UACGGGGGAGAGCAAGCGUUGUUCGGAUUUACUGGGCGUAAAGGGCGCGUAGGCGGCCACCGCAAGUCGACUGUAGCAAAGUCUCCGGGCUUAACCCGGAAAGGUCACCGAUACUGGCGGGGCUAGAGUGCAGAAGGGGCAACUGGAAUUCUCGGUGUAGCGGUAGAAAUGCGUAGAUAGUCGAGAGGAACACCGUGCGGCGAAGGCGGGUUGCUGGGCUACACUGACGCUGAUGCGACGAAAGCUGGGGAGCAAACGGG